AGUGAACGCUGGCGGUAGGCCUAACACAUGCAAGUCGAACGGCAGCACAGUAAGAGCUUGCUCUUACGGGUGGCGAGUGGCGGACGGGUGAGGAAUACAUCGGAAUCUACUUUUUCGUGGGGGAUAACGUAGGGAAACUUACGCUAAUACCGCAUACGACCUACGGGUGAAAGCAGGGGAUCUUCGGACCUUGCGCGAUUGAAUGAGCCGAUGUCGGAUUAGCUAGUUGGCGGGGUAAGGGCCCACCAAGGCGACGAUCCGUAGCUGGUCUGAGAGGAUGAUCAGCCACACUGGAACUGAGAAACGGUCCAGACUCCUACGGGAGGCAGCAGUGGGGAAUAUUGGACAAAGGGCGCAAGCCUGAUCCAGCCAUACCGCGUGGGUGAAGAAGGCCUUCGGGUUGUAAAGCCCUUUUGUUGGGAAAGAAAAGCAGCAGGUUAAUACCCCGCUGUUCUGACGGUACCCAAAGAAUAAGCACCGGCUAACUUCGUG
rnacentral:rRNA from 1 species